rnacentral:ncRNA from 1 species
AUGAAUACGGCAAACCCGCCGAAAGACGGGGACGCAAAGUUUAGUGUCUAACCCGGUAAAUGCCGGUAUGAUG